GACUAUCAUAUGAGCAACCACAUGGCUCGAAUCUAAAACCAUAGAAGGAGCAAACCUCUUAAUCUGAAAUUUUUAUCAUUGGACUAUCACCUAGAUGGUUAACUGAAAUUUUCUUGAGGCAAUUGUUGGUGGUAGGAGGGUUAUAAUUGGCAUCAUAAGUUUGUCGUAUAGUUCCUGAUCGUUGCCACCCAGCAAGAUGUAGACCGUAUGAUGAAUUGACUUUUGUAGUUAGAAAUGAAGGAGGAUGAAUGAUCAAUGGCCGUAGUCAUCUGGUAUUUGUGCUAGAAAACAGAAACUAUCGUAAACUUUGUGAAAAGGUUUGGGGACCCUUCGGACACACCUUCUAAAGAUGCCUUCAAAAUAAUGCAGAUCAAAAAGAAACAAUGGAGCAAAAGUGAAAAUAAUGUGGGUGUGGGGAGGGAGAUGGAGAGGUUUCCCCUCUGUUAGGGUCCAGGAAUCUAGAGCAAGAAAAGCAAAUAAGAUAAUGUGGGCGCCGGGAGGGAGAUGGAGAAGUGGGCUUGCACCUUCUUGAGAAAGAAUUCAGGUAGAUUAAACCUACAGAAGAACCCUCAUGACUAAAACUCAGCAAUAUUUAAAGAAGAAAUAUAAGAUACUGUGUGGAUUUAGUAUUAUGCAAAAAGCAGGCUCACUGAUGCGUAAAGGGAGAAUCAAUCUGCUUUACCUGGGAAAAGCAGAAUUUAUCAAAUUGCUUGCCUUUUAGGCUGAAAGACCAGAUAGACUAGACAAUCUCCAUAGUUGUAAUGGACCUGCCUGAUACCUUGAAAAAGGAGAGAUCCUAUUGGAAGGAAGGAAGGAAGGAAGGAUUGCCUCUAGAAAAACCUUCAAUGAGUUUC
rnacentral:lncRNA from 1 species